rnacentral:rRNA from 1 species
AACGAACGCUGGCGGCAGGCUUAACACAUGCAAGUCGAACGCCCCGCAAGGGGAGUGGCAGACGGGUGAGUAACGCGUGGGAACAUACCCUUUCCUGCGGAAUAGCUCCGGGAAACUGGAAUUAAUACCGCAUACGCCCUACGGGGGAAAGAUUUAUCGGGGAAGGAUUGGCCCGCGUUGGAUUAGCUAGUUGGGGGGGUAAAGGCCUACCAAGGCGACGAUCCAUAGCUGGUCUGAGAGGAUGAUCAGCCACAUUGGGACUGAGACACGGCCCAAACUCCUACGGGAGGCAGCAGUGGGGAAUAUUGGACAAUGGGCGCAAGCCUGAUCCAGCCAUGCCGCGUGAGUGAUGAAGGCCUUAGGGUUGUAAAGCUCUUUCACCGGAGAAGAUAAUGACGGUAUCCGGAGAAGAAGCCCCGGCUAACUUCGUGCCAGCCGCCGCAGUAACAC